CCGCCCGUCACAUCACGAAAGUGGGUUGUACUAGAAGUCGCUGCGCUAACCCGCAAGGGAGGCAAGCGCCCAAGGUAUGACUCAUGACUGGGGUG
rnacentral:rRNA from 1 species